UGAGGAAUAUUGGUCAAUGGGCGCAAGCCUGAACCAGCCAUCCCGCGUGCAGGAAGACGGCGCUAUGCGUUGUAAACUGCUUUUCCAGGGGGAGAAACUUGCGCACGUGUUGCGCAAUUGACGGUACGUGUACUGUUUUGUAUGUACCUUGCGAAUAAGGAUCGGCUAACUCCGUGCCAGCAGCCGCGGUAAUACGGAGGAUGCGAGCGUUAUCCGGAUUCAUUGGGUUUAAAGGGUGCGUAGGCGGACUAUUAAGUCAGUGGUGAAAUCCUGCAGCUUAACUGCAGAACUGCCAUUGAUACUGAUAGCCUUGAGUUUGGUUAAGGUAGGCGGAAUGUGUAAUGUAGCGGUGAAAUGCUUAGAUAUUACACAGAACACCAAUUGCGUAGGCAGCUUACUGAGCCGACACUGACGCUGAGGCACGAAAGCGUGGGGAUCGAACA
rnacentral:rRNA from 1 species